UUAAUUUUCAAAGUCAACCAAAUUUGAAUGUUUCACUUCUUCUUUUUUUAUUUGGGUCCUACAAGAAAAAGAUUCAAGCUUCAACAACUAACGAGCUGGUGAUGCAUAUCUGUUUCGAACAUUAACUUCUGCCCUUUUUGAACAUAAAGGACAAUGUUACAAUCCAACAUAUAGAUGUGAAAGAGGAAGAAAAAACAAUCAUAUGAUAAGCCAAAUAGAGAAACUCAAACCAUCACCUUUCUGGGAAAUGGGCGGCAUGUUGAAGAGAAAGAAGAAACUUUCCGACAGGAAUAGACUUUUAGUGACUUUAAUCUCCUUGUUUUGUUGCGAUUCUGUGGAUGACUUUACACAUUUAUUUAUCUAUAGGCGUAAUGACUUUCUAGCCACCUGAACUUGUAAGGCUUUUGAAAGCCGAUAUAUAAACUUUGGAUUUUCCCAUUUGAACACUUAAACCUGUGAAACCCUUAACUAAUAAACACAUUUGACCCUUGACCCUACGCGCCUAUAUUACACAUUCACAGACGUAUCCAUCCAGUCAGUAAAUGACCAACGAGAUUGUUAUACGUCAAGGCCGCGAAAACAAACCCCAUAGCUGUGCUGGAAUAAAUUUAUUAAUUUCUACAUUUUCUUAUAUUUUCCUUAUUUUCUUCUUCACCAUAGGAGUGCAUUUUUUACCUAAAUCAAGACACCAAAAUUAUCCAGCAAUCCAAAUUAUCUAUGAAGAGGGCGGCAAAUAAUUUACACAGUACUACGGUAGAAAAAAACAAACACAAAGGAAAAACAACAGAUACUUAGAAUACUUCAAGUGAAUUAGAGAAAACGAGUAAAAACUUGGAUAAUAUAUGAUCAACAAAAAUCUGGGAAUUGUACCACGAAGCGGAAAAAAACUCGUGGGCGAUCUCAUACAUCCUCAACACUCAAACCGAACAACCACAAAAAUAUCUUUGUCCCUUUGUGUUUUUUCGCUCACUUCCCCAUCUCCUUUUCUCUCAUUCCCUCCUUCCCCCAGAUCUGUUUCUCUGUACGUUGCGUGUAUGUGUGUUUAUCUUGCAACUGUUUCAGGUGUUAAGCGGCUAACUUUUAGAUUGAGAACAUGAAAAACUCAAAAUCCGAAGGGAGGGGGGUGCGCUGUUAGGCGUAGAUGGGGAGGAAGGACCGGUUGGGUUCGUGUGGUCGUUGCUGUGGGUUAUGAGUGAAGCUUUG
rnacentral:lncRNA from 1 species